rnacentral:rRNA from 1 species
ACAAGCGGUGGAGCAUGUGGUUAAUUCGAAGACAACGCGAAGAACCUUACCAGGUCUUGACAUCCCGAUGCUAUUUCUAGAGAUAGAAAGUUACUUCGGUACAUCGGUGACAGGUGGUGCAUGGUUGUCGUCAGCUCGUGUCGUGAGAUGUUGGGUUAAGUCCCGCAACGAGCGCAACCCCUAUUGUUAGUUGCCAUCAUUCAGUUGGGCACUCUAGCGAGACUGCCGGUAAUAAACCGGAGGAAGGUGGGGAUGACGUCAAAUCAUCAUGCCCCUUAUGACCUGGGCUACACACGUGCUACAAUGGUUGGUACAACGAGUUGCGAGUCGGUGACGGCGAGCUAAUCUCUUAAAGCCAAUCUCAGUUCGGAUUGUAGGCUGCAACUCGCCUACAUGAAGUCGGAAUCGCUAGUAAUCGCGGAUCAGCACGCCGCGGUGAAUACGUUCCCGGGCCUU